rnacentral:lncRNA from 1 species
GAUCAGUGAGGGCACCAGAGCGUUUGACUUUGUGUGGGUAGAUUUGCUUGCCUAGUACUGACUUUGCUAGUUCAAACAGGUAACAGCAAUGAGCUCUGAGUCCCCUGGCCCUUAGAAGCCACUUUGAGAUGAUGCUGGAAGGAGGAAAACCUGGAAUCAAUAAGCUUCAGGAAAAAAGUUACCCCUGGUUUAAACCUUCCUAUAGAGUGAGAGGUGGAGCUAAGAUUGGGAACAAUUCAGAUCUCUGCUUUUACCUGUUGACUCCUGCUAUGUGCUAGACACUGCUAGAGGUAAGUAUACAAGGAUCAAGAAAAGAAUCUGGCUGCCUGCCAAAGGACUCAUAGCUUAGUGGAGGGAAUUAGACCCGCAGUUCCCAAACUCUGCAUACCUUUCAAAUUUUUUAGAAAAACACACCAAUACUUUGACAUCUGUCAGACAAAGUGUGAACAACUAGCUCAAAGCAGUUCACAGCUUCAACAUUAGAUCCCAUUGCAUUCCUUUUGAUAAUGCCAUGUGUUGGCAACACUAGGCCUUUGGCAGUUGCUAUACUAAAAGCAGGUACUGUGCAAAACUCAGUGUGGAUCAGAAAAUGAGGGUGUCACAGUCGGAUUUGAUUCUGAGUUUGAAAAGCUCUGUGCACUUAAUGGGUCUACCUCUUACUAUGGAACUGUGGACACUGAAGAAUGAAAUAAAAUAUAUUUUUUUCUUUCAAUUUAUGUAUAUUACCUUUGUGAAAGAUUACUAAGUGGUUAGGACAGAAAUCAUUGUAAAGUUGUUUGACACUAACUAAUAAAUGUUAA